CACGUAGGGUGCGAGCGUUGUCCGGAAUUAUUGGGCGUAAAGAGCUCGUAGGCGGUCUGUCGCGUCGGCUGUGAAAACCUGGGGCUCAACUCCGGGCCUGCAGCCGAUACGGGCAGACUAGAAUUCGGUAGGGGAGACUGGAACUCCUGGUGUAACGGUGGAAUGCGCAGAUAUCAGGAAGAACACCAACGGCGAAGGCAGCUCGCUGGGACGGUACUGACGCUGAGACGCGAAAGCGUGGGGAGCGAACAGG
rnacentral:rRNA from 1 species